rnacentral:rRNA from 1 species
GACGAACGCUGGCGGCGUGCUUAACACAUGCAAGUCGAACGGAAAGGCCUGUCCUUCCUUGUGUUGGACGGGUACUCGAGUGGCGAACGGGUGAGUAAUACGUGAGUGAUCUGCCCCCAACUUGGGUAUAAGCCUGGGAAACUGGGUCUAAUUCCCGAUAGGACUGCAGGGUGGUGCCUGUGGUGGAAAACGAUUUUCUAGUGGUUGGGGAUGAGCUCGCGGCCUAUCAGCUUGUUGGUGGGGUAAUGGCCUACCAAGGCGGCGACGGGUAGCCGGCCUGAGAGGGUGGACGGCCACAUUGGGACUGAGAUACGGCCCAGACUCCUACGGGAGGCAGCAGUGGGCAAUAUUGCACAAUGGGCGGAAGCCUGAUGCAGCGACGCCGCGUGGGGGAUGACGGCCUUCGGGUUGUAAACUCCUUUCGACCGCGAGGAAGCCGCCUGGUUGGAAGGGUGGUGACGGUAGUGGUAGAAGAAGCACCGGCUAACUACGUG